AAAAAUAAUGUAACAAUAUCAAAAAAUAUAACAAGCUAGAGAGUGGGCUGUUGCUUUGGACGGUUUCGAGAGUUAAAUGAAGCACCGAUUUUUGAAUUUCCCAACCGAAUGCUCGUUAUUGAGAAGACGACGGAACGACAAGUGUUCAACUGUUCACCCCAUAACAUUUUUGUCGUUUACGUACACAUACACACAUGACACAUAGAUAUGCGUUCCCACUUUUAGAUACCGAAUACCGUCGACUUUGUGCACCAAGGUGAUGUAGUUUGUCCCAACAAACACGAAGAAGAAGAAAUGUAUCCAACAGUUGGGUCCGCGCAUUCGGAAUCUGUUGAUUCUAAGCGUAAGCAGCACACAUUUAUGCUGUGCUUGUUGUCACACGCGUACGCGCCUCUCGCACUAACCGCAAUAAUCAAAUCGUAAUAAUAAUAAAUAAAAAUAACAGCAACAACAACAAUAAUAAUAAAGCAAAAGAGAUAUCUCACAACCAUAAUAAAAUCUAGUGUACUUACGUGCUCAGCUCGGUGGCUCGCGUCGCCAAAUCUAGAAAAAUAAAAUUAAAAAGCAGACCAGCAAAAUAACAAAAUAAAGCAACAGCUUGCAGCUUUGCCAAUUUUUUCAAUCACACUCACUCGCAUAUGAGAUACGCGUAUAUCUACAAACGUUCGAACACACACUCGACAGACACAGAUGCACGAACACCAAAAGGUUCAUACAUUUUCAUACUUAUCUAAGUGCGAACGAAGUAUGCACACUGAGAGCAACCGAAUAUUAACUCUGGUGGACGGACGGAUGAUGGUUGUGGAUUGGACGUGCGGCGGUCAGGCGGGCGUUUGGAGUUAGUAACCUUAUGUGUAUGUAUGUAUGUGCGCACCGUCCAUCCGUACGUAUGAGAAUUUGUUUCGGAAUAUAUCGACGACCUACAGACUUAUUACGGUUUAAACGUGUGACGACGGCGAAUGUACAAAUGUUUGUAUGAAUGUAUACAUACUUGGAUUUGCCUUAUUUAUUGUGCAACUUGUGAGAGCAGUGCUUUGUUAUUGCUGCUGUCGUCUUGCGUUGCGUCCGUCGAAUUUGUCGUAUACGUCUUCUCGGUCUUCUCAAAUGAAAUCCAAUCAAAAAGUGAUGAAGGUGUUGUUGUUGUUAUAACUACUAUUUGGUUUGAUGUUCUUGCUAUUGUGGUUGUACCAGCUAUUAGUGUUGUCGUCAACAUUCUUUAUAAAUAAAAAGUGAAAAUUGUGUUAAUUUAAUGAAAACAAAAUAAAAAAUCACAUCUUACAAGAGAGCAUGAUCGAGAGUGGGAGAGAAUAAACAAACAAAAAGUCAAAGAAGAUCAAAACUACAACAUCAUUGCUGUCAUCUAGUCGUACACACUGCAAACUGAAACAUCAUUAAAAAGCAGCGUUCUAAAAUUGUAAAACAAAAUGCAACAAAACCGAUACAUCCUCUAGUCUUUUGCAGCAGUUAAGACCGAAACCUCAAGAAUAAAUCUAACAAUCAAAAACCUCCAAACCUUCGUAACGUCAUUACCUCAUAUCAUUCGCCAGAACAAGCAUCAAAGUGUUUAAGAACGCCAUUGACCGGCUGACACA
rnacentral:sRNA from 1 species